CACCGCGGUUAUACGAGAGGCCCAAGUUGAUAGACAGCGGCGUAAAGAGUGGUUAAGGUAAACAAAAAACUAAAGCCGAACGCCCUCUAAGCUGUUAUACGCUCUUCGAAGGCAUGAAGUCCCACUACGAAAGUGGCUUUACACCACCUGAAUCCACGAAAGCUGAGAAA
rnacentral:rRNA from 1 species